rnacentral:misc_RNA from 1 species
CACGGCCAGCAUCCUAUAUAAUAAGGAAGAACUCAUCACCCAUGGAAAGAUCAGUGCCCAUUUCUUGCCCAACAAAUAUGGGACAUGUCAAUAAAUGGAGGCAAGGCAACGGAUUCAACCACGUUCGGAUCUAACUUAUACACUAGAUCCAUCAGCCCUAACCUUUAGCACAAAUUUAUUUUUUAAAUGAAUCCAUACAAGUGUAGAAAGAUAUAAAAAAAUAUACCAUUCAACUACCCUCC